ACUCAAAUGAAUUGACGGGGACCCGCACAAGCGGUGGAACAUGUGGUUUAAUUCGAUGCAACGCGAAGAACCUUAUCCAGGCCUUGACAUGCCCUCUAUGGACUUUUGAAAGAAGGUCCUUCACUUCGGGUGGGAGGUGCACAGGUGCUGCAUGGCUGUCGUCAGCUCGUGUCGUGAGAUGUUGGGUUAAGUCCCGCAACGAGCGCAACCCUCGUCCUCUGUUGCUAACAGGUAAUGCUGAGAACUCUGAGGAAACUGCCGGUGAUAAGCCGGAGGAAGGUGGGGAUGACGUCAAGUCCUCAUGGCCCUUAUGGCCUGGGCUACACACGUGUUACAAUGGCAGUGACAACGGGUUGCUACUCCGCGAGGAGAUGCUAAUCCCUUAAAAACUGCCUCAGUUCGGAUUGCACUCUGCAACUCGAGUGCAUGAAGCUGGAAUCGCUAGUAAUCGCGGAUCAGAACGCCGCGGUGAAUACGUUCCCGGGUCUUGCACACACCGCCCGU
rnacentral:rRNA from 1 species